GCGACUGGUCAUAUAUCUUCUCUAUUUCUUACUUUUUCCUUUUCCAGAAAUAGUUUGGUGGAUCUGAUGUGAUGAUAGAGAUCUGAGAUCUGAGAGUAAAGAUCGAGAUGAUGACUGAUGAGUGAUUGAGAUUUGAGAUCUGAGAGAUUAUAGAUCGAGAUCUGUUAGAGUAGAGAUGAGAGAUCGAGAGAUUAAAGAUAUGGGAGACUGACGAAUGGUGAGACACUGAGAGUUCAUAACCG
rnacentral:lncRNA from 1 species